UGGAAACAAGAAGAGAUAAUCACACAUGCACAGAGCUAGCCAAGGAGGCAGAGAGAAUAUAAUAUACCCCAACCACCCCAACUAUUAAUAAUUCAAUAUGCAUUUACCAAGGCUUUGCUGAGGACACUGUGAAAGGACCUUUGGGACCCACAAAUGACCAAAGACCUCAUCCAGAACUAACACACGGUACUAUCUGAUACACAGUGCCAGAGAAGGAUAAAGGACUGUGAGAGAGAAGAAGUACGAAGGAUCAUUCCUUUUGGCCUGGGAUGAGAGGACAAAGAUGCUGGAAGACUUUGUGAAGGAAGCAGUAUUUGCACAGCAUUGUCUUGAGAGCUGGUGAGUCCUUGCCAGAAUGUACCCUUUAGAUGGAUUUGUCGCUGCAGACAUUCUGACACUUUCAGCUGGAAUGGAAAUUUAUCGAGGAUAGAGAAGUAAUGUCCAAAGAAAAUGUCAAUGACAAAAGCAAGUCUGUUCAGAACAAAAAGAGGUGAUCCUGGUCCCAGUGUGAAGGACAGACAUGGCUGUGGAAAGAUCUCAAGUGACCCAUUAGCCAGAAGAGGAAAUCAAGUUUGCUCUCAAGACUGAUACUGGGAAAAUUUCUCCAGGGCACUUAGAUGAGAAAAUGAAGACUUAAAGAAGUUAAAUGGUUUGUUCUAAUUACACAGCUAAUUAGUGAUUAACUAGAUUUUAUGUUCAAAACUUCUAAUUCCACAUCCCAUGCUCUCCUUGCCACAUCAACAACAUUAUGAAGUAUUCAUAGAGUGCCACAACACCUGCUUCGGUACUUGAGAAAUUGACUUUUCCUGCAAAUUACCCUGACCAGUGACCUUGUCUUGGCUACCAAAGAGUUUGGAGAAGGAGGGAGGCUGUAUGUGUGGCCGUGCCCCAGCCCAUGAUUGGUAUUUAGCUCUUUGAAGUUCACAGUUAUCUAUUUAAUGUACAGACAUUCUGAAACAAAUGCCACAUUAUAAUCAUCAACUGGAAAGCCCAACUAUCGCCUCUUAGGGAAAUAACAUUUGAUCUUACAAGGGAUGGACUGUGGUAUAAUUUAAGAGCUUUCAAUGAUAAUUUCUUAAAGAAGGGGACAUUUGUUAGAUUUGUCUUUUUGCUGUGAGGGACCAUCUCGGUUAGGUGUCAGCAUAAUUAUGCAAGAGUGAUAGGACGGAAGACAGAGACAGUCAGUGGUUUGUAAUUGGUGUCUUUCAAAGGUGCUUCUUUUGCAGGAAAAUUUAAGAUCCAUGCCUCCUGCCACACAAGCAUUGGAAGAGAUCAAAGGCCACCCCUGGAAGCUCAAGAGGUAAAAUUAUAUUUUUAUCCUUUAGCUUUGAUUUUUGGCGGCUUACCACAUUUUUAAAAAAAUUAAUUGCUCUGUCCAGCCAGCAGGUGUUAGCCCUCAAGUGUGGGCACAAGGGCCGGCUGCUGGGCAGGCAACUUAAAGACCCCAUAACUCACCGCAACCUUGAGCUCCCUCAGAUUGGUCUAGGAGAAAGUUCUAAAAGUACUUCAAGGCCAGAUGACAUGGGAACCUGUGUCCCUGUCAAAUAUCAAAGAAAAACAGUUAGACUGUAAAAAUGUAAACUUAUAAAGCAUGCACUUAAUUUUGACAAGCUUUUAGUAUCGAGUUGCAGAUUUUAGGCAAUAAGGCAGCCGAGGCUAAAAUCGGCCGUAGGAAGCAGAACCUGAAAGUUCGUUUAGAAUUAUGUGGGGAGACCCUGACUCAUUUUGUUUUCCACAUCUGUUCCGUUUAAUUUGGACAAGAAGAAAAGUUUGAUGCACAACUUAAGGAAUGAAAUCUCCUUUUUUUACCUGUGAUUCUUAAAACUCCCAAGAUUUUUCUUGCUUUUCAUGAAGUCACAGGAAGGGUAACUUUCAUUUUGUAAUUGAUUAGAACACUGUUAAAAUAGUGCUUCAAAAUUGUCAUGCUGCAAAUGAAAACACAAGGGUUUUUUUUUUUUUUCCCCCCUCUUUAAACAUCUGAAAGAACAGGGCUUAAUAAAAUAUUUGACCUCAUACUGAGUCAGCUUAGAAUGUCUCUAGAAAGCCUUGUUUCAUCAGGGCCAUCUGUGCCAGUAUAUGGAUGUGGGGUUAUGAAGGCUAUGGCACAGAGAACAUCUAACAGCCAUUGUUCUGAUGAAGAGACUGGCAUUGAAGGCUCUUGCACAGCUUUAGUGUGUCUCUGGGUAUAUAGAUGCCUUGUGGAUGUGUCAGCUUGUUAGAUUGCAACAAAGUACUAAUGAGUUUGCAAUAGUUGGUAUGCCAGGCAGUUACUUUUAUCUCGCCAAUGACCACUCUCUCAUUUCAAUGCAUCAGGGAAGGACCAGGAGAGUCCAUGGGAGGCUAUGGGUAAAUAUCAAAACCUAAGCUUUCUACUGAUACCUCCGACUCACAACUCGCUGGUUCUGGGGAAGCAGAGCGACUGCUCUGUAUAAAAUAGCAAACUGAGAAAGAUAUUGAUAAGUCAUCAAAGCUACCUGCUUGCUUGGUGGCCAAAUUGUCUUCUGCCCAGAAGUUCUGAGAGUUAAUGAAAGUGAUCAUCAGAAGUGCCCAGUCCAGCUCAGGCCAAUCCAUAUUGCUGGCAACUAAACUAUUUUUAAAGUUCUUCAGGCUUUGAAAAAUAUUCUGACUCGUGGCCGGGCCCAGUGGCUCAAGCCUGUA